GAGGGUGUAGCUCAAGUGGUAGAGCACAUGAUUAGCACGCAUGAGGUCCUGGGUUCAACCCCCAGUGCCUCUU
rnacentral:tRNA from 1 species